CUUGUGACGGCGUACCUUUUGUAUAAUGGGUCAUCGACUUGGUCUAUCUAGCAAGCUUAAGCCGUUAGGUGUAGGCGCAGCGAAAGCGAGUCUUAAUAGGGCGUCGAGUUAGAUGGAUCAGACCCGAAACCGAGUGAUCUAGGCAUGACCAGGAUGAAGGUAAGGUAACACUUACUGGAGGUCCGAACCCACACCUGUUGAAAAAGGUCGGGAUGAGUUGUGCCUAGGGGUGAAAGGCCAAUCAAACUCGGAGAUAGCUGGUUCUCUGCGAAAUCUAUUUAGGUAGAGCGUCAUCCGAAUACCCCGGGGGGUAGAGCACUGGAUGGGUAAUGGGGCCCCACAGGCUUACUGAUCCUAACCAAACUCCGAAUACCCGGGAGUACUAGAUGGCAGACACACGGCGGAUGCUAACGUCCGUCGUGAAGAGGGAAACAACCCUGACCUCCGGCUAAGGCCCCCAAUUCAUGGCUAAGUGGGAAAGCAGGUGAGACGUCCAAAACAACCAGGAGGUUGGCUUAGAAGCAGCCAUCCUUUAAAGAUAGCGUAACAGCUCACUGGUCUAAUCAAGAUGUCUUGCGGCGAAGAUGUAACGGGGCUCAAGCCAUGAGCCGAAGCCGAGGAUGCACGUAGUGCAUGGUAGCAGAGCGUAGUGUGACAUAGUCUCAUUCCUCCUUAGUACCUUCGGGUACAUUGGAGGAGAGAGGCUUUCGAUGAAGCCGGCGCGUGAGCGAUCCGGUGGAGAGAUCACUAGCGAGAAUGAUGACAUGAGUAGCGACAAACAGGGUGAGAGACCCUGUCGCCGAAAGUCCAAGGGUUCCUGCUUAAAGCUAAUCUGAGCAGGGUAAGCCGGCCCCUAAGGCGAGGCCGAAAGGCGUAGUCGAUGGGAACCAGGUUAAUAUUCCUGGGCCAGGAGAUGGUGACGGAUUGCGAAGAUUGUUCGACCUUAUCGGAUUGGUCGGGCCGUUCAGCAGUCCCUGGAAAUAGCCCUCCAUAGGACCGUACCCUAAACCGACACAGGUGGACUGGUAGAGAAUACCAAGGCGCUUGAGAGAACGAUGUUGAAGGAACUCGGCAAAAUACCUCCGUAAGUUCGCGAGAAGGAGGCCCGGGUUUCACGCAAGUGAUGCCCGGGGGCACAAACCAGGGGGUGGCGACUGUUUACUAAAAACACAGGGCUCUGCGAAGUCGCAAGACGACGUAUAGGGUCUGACGCCUGCCCGGUGCUGGAAGGUUAAAAGGAGAGGUGCAAGCUUUGAAUUGAAGCCCCAGUAAACGGCGGCCGUAACUAUAACGGUCCUAAGGUAGCGAAAUUCCUUGUCGGGUAAGUUCCGACCUGCACGAAUGGCGUAACGACUUCCCCGCUGUCUCCAACAUCGACUCAGCGAAAUUGAAUUGCCUGUCAAGAUGCAGGCUUCCCGCGGUUAGACGGAAAGACCCCAUGCACCUUUACUACAGCUUCACACUGGCAUCAGGCCAAGCAUGUGCAGGAUAGGUGGUAGGCUUUGAAACCGGAACGCCAGUUUCGGUGGAGCCUUCCUUGAGAUACCACCCUUGCUUCGCUUGAUGUCUAACCGCGGUCCCUUAUCGGGAUCCGGGACCCUGUGUGGCGGGUAGUUUGACUGGGGCGGUCGCCUCCUAAAGCGUAACGGAGGCGCGCGAAGGUUGGCUCAGAGCGGUCGGAAAUCGCUCGUUGAGUGCAAUGGCAUAAGCCAGCCUGACUGCGAGACUGACAAGUCGAGCAGAGUCGAAAGACGGCCAUAGUGAUCCGGUGGUCCCAAGUGGGAGGGCCAUCGCUCAACGGAUAAAAGGUACGCUGGGGAUAACAGGCUGAUACUGCCCAAGAGUCCAUAUCGACGGCAGUGUUUGGCACCUCGAUGUCGGCUCAUCUCAUCCUGGGGCUGGAGCAGGUCCCAAGGGUACGGCUGUUCGCCGUUUAAAGAGGUACGUGAGCUGGGUUUAGAACGUCGUGAGACAGUUCGGUCCCUAUCUGCCGUGGGUGUAGGAUACUUGAGAAGAGUUGCCCCUAGUACGAGAGGACCGGGGUGAACGAUCCACUGGUGGACCAGUUGUCGUGCCAACGGCAGUGCUGGGUAGCUAUGAUCGGACAGGAUAACCGCUGAAGGCAUCUAAGCGGGAAGCCCCCUUCAAAACAAGGUAUCCCUGAGGGCCGUGGUAGACCACCACGUCGAUAGGCUGGAGAUGUAAGCGCGGCAACGCGUUCAGUUGACCAGUACUAAUUGCCCGAUAGGCUUGAUU
rnacentral:rRNA from 1 species